UCCGUAGGUGAACCUGCGGAAGGAUCAUUAAAGAGUAACUAGGUAGAUUAGGGUUAACCCUAUCUGCCUUAACACUCCACCCUUUGUUUACAUUACCUUUGUUGCUUUGGUAGGCCCGUCUACGGGCCGCCGGCUUUGGCUGGUCAGUGCCUACCAGAGGACUCAAAACUCUUGUUAAAUAAUAUUGUCUGAGUAAUAUAUAAUAGUUAAAACUUUCAACAACGGAUCUCUUGGUUCUGGCAUCGAUGAAGAACGCAGCGAAAUGCGAUAAGUAAUGUGAAUUGCAGAAUUCAGUGAAUCAUCGAAUCUUUGAACGCACAUUGCGCCCUCUGGUAUUCCGGGGGGCAUGCCUGUUCGAGCGUCAUUACAACCCUCAAGCUCAGCUUGGUAUUGGGCUCGCCCUUUAUGGGCCUGCCUCAAAAUCAGUGGCGGCUCCGUCCAGUCUCAAGCGCAGUAAUACUCGUCGCUUGUUAGGCUUGAUCGGCGGUUUGCCAGCAACCCCCAAUUUUACAAGGUUGACCUCGGAUCAGGUAGGGAUACCCGCUGAACUUAAGCAUAUCAAUAAGCGGAGGAAAAGAAACCAACCAAUCU
rnacentral:rRNA from 1 species